GUGGGGAAUAUUGGACAAUGGGCGAAAGCCUGAUCCAGCCAUGCCGCGUGUGUGAAGAAGGCCUUUUGGUUGUAAAGCACUUUAAGCGAGGAGGAGGCUACUUGGAUUAAUACUCUAGGAUAGUGGACGUUACUCGCAGAAUAAGCACCGGCUAACUCUGUGCCAGCAGCCGCGGUAAUACAGAGGGUGCGAGCGUUAAUCGGAUUUACUGGGCGUAAAGCGUGCGUAGGCGGCUUCUUAAGUCGGAUGUGAAAUCCCUGAGCUUAACUUAGGAAUUGCAUUCGAUACUGGGAAGCUAGAGUAUGGGAGAGGAUGGUAGAAUUCCAGGUGUAGCGGUGAAAUGCGUAGAGAUCUGGAGGAAUACCGAUGGCGAAGGCAGCCAUCUGGCCUAAUACUGACGCUGAGGUACGAAAGCAUGGGGAGCAA
rnacentral:rRNA from 1 species